GACAUACCUCUGGUGUACCAGUUGUCGUGCCAACGGCAUAGCUGGGUAGCUAUGUGAGGACGGGAUAAGUGCUGAAAGCAUCUAAGCAUGAAGCCCCCCUCAAGAUGAGAUUUCACAACUUCGGUUAUAAGAUCCCUCAAAGAUGAUGAGGUUAAUAGGUUCGAGGUGGAAGCCUGGUGACAUGUGGAGCUGACGAAUACUAAUCGAUCGAAGACUUAAUCAA
rnacentral:rRNA from 1 species